UCUAUCUAUUUUACAUUAAAAUUUAAAUUUAAGUUUAAAUUAUGAAUUAAAUUUAAUUUUUAAUUUUUAAUAUCAAAUCUAUUCAUCUAUUUUACAUUAAAAUUUAAAUUCGAGUUAAAUCGUGAAUUAAAUUUAAUUUUUAAUUUUUGAUAUCAAAAUUGAAUUUAAUUAUAUAAUGUACAAAAAUUAAAUUUUAAAUAAAUGUCAAUUAAAUUUUGAUGCUUUUAGUUUAAAAGACUUAUUUAAAUUUUAGAUUUAUUAAAAAUUAAAAAAUAUAUAAAAAUAUCUAAUGUAUAUAAAAAAGAACAUAUUGCAGAUAUUUUCUAAUAAAAUAUAACAUAUAAAUUUACAAAAUGUUUUUAUUCUAAAUUCUUAAAUCAAUAUGAUUUAAUAUUUUUUAUUAAUUUAAAAUAAAUUAAAAUAAUUAUUACGUGCAUUUGUACGUACACUCAACUAGUAUCUAUUAACAUAUAUAAUUUCUCAAUAAUCUUGUUGAUGUGGCACAACCACAUUACUUUAGAAGUUUUUUUUUUUUUUUUAACUCAGCCCAUGUUCCAUUGUCUUUACUCCCACCCCUCCAUCUUCUCCUUGCAACGUAUACCUUACCUUCCUCCUCUCUUAAGCAUAAACUUCCAUCCCUCCAUCUUCUUCGUAUAAUAAAUCUAUUAAUUUCACAAACUUUUAUUAAUUAAUUAAUAUAUAUGAUUUCUUUCCCUUGGCUUAACUCCUACCCCUGCAUCUUCUCCUUGCAACGUGUAACUUACCUUCCUCCUCUCUUAAGCAUAAACUUCCAUCCCUCCAUCUUCUUCUUGCACCAAAUCUAUUAAUUUCACAAACUUAUUAUUUUAUCAAGUUAGAGCAUAUCAACACAACCAGGGUUAGCAACUUCCUAAUAAAAUAUUUUUAAAGAGUUAAUUUUAUAUUAGAGGACCGGAGGGCGAUAGGAGAUGCGGGGCCGGGGGGGCUGGGCGGCAUCGAGGUUGAGGGCGGUGCUACUGCCGACAAUGACUAUAGCGACAGCGACCGCGUCCUCGGUGGUGGCGGUGCCCGAGGUGGUGAUUUUAUUUAUUUAUUUAUUUACUUAUUUAUUUUGAGCUUUUUAGAA
rnacentral:lncRNA from 1 species